AGAAAUUUGUAGUCACGUUGUAUUAUGGAUAGAAUGUAGGAUACAAUUUUUAUCAAUAGGCAAAAACAAAAAGAUUAUAGUAUUGCUCUUGAUCAUGAACUCAGCACUCCUAUAAUGUUAUUUUUUACUAUGAGAAGGGAAAAUCCAGACUACAAUUAUGUGCAAUGAACCAAAAUUGCUGCAUUAAAGAAUGUAAAGAUCUAACUAAACUAAAUAAACUUUCAAAUUUAAUAGAAAGAACACACAACUACAUAUUUGUAUGCUUUCAGCUGUUUUGAUCAUCGGCGCUGGAGAAGUCCACCCUUCUCUUCUCCGAGGUGAACUUAUUGGAAUCUCAGAACUGAAAAUGUAUCCAACUUAAAAUAAUUUGUUUCAGCUGGUGAGAGAUGUGUUUCUCAGAUUUAUCCAAUAUACUAGCAGCAAUUACACAACAAACAUCAGCUUUUUCUCAAAAGUAAGUCACAAUGUGAGAAGCUAUUCCAAAAUGAAACUACAUGAAAAUUGAGGCCACAUCACAACAGAACUACCAUGUGAUGUGGCAUAGGAGUAAAAAUCACACCUAAUGGCUGGUGUGGGUGCAUUGAUCACUUGAUUGCUGACUAUGAUAGUGGUUAAAAUUAGCAUCAUAACUAAAGCAAAAUUCGGUAACCUCUGCAAUUCUCAACUCUAAAGAAUAUGAUAGCAGGCUGGCCCUUAACAGACAUUGCUGGCGUGUCUCACUUUACGUGUUAUUGACCUGCCCAUCCUAAGACGUCUAGUUGUUAGGGCUUCUAGUAAAACAACCAAGGCAUCCUCUAAUGCUUCCGCCUGUUUAUCCAAUCCAUAGGAGCAGAACUCUGGAAGGCAUUGCAGUUCUGAAAGGAGGCCAAUAGCUGCUGCUGCUGUACAGGUACGAUCCCAUGAUGGCUGAGGCCGCAGUUUGUGCAUUGUAGAUGCACCAGUGGCCAGGGAAAUGCAAGGAAGAUCCUCCUCUCCCCAAACUGACUUUGUUUGCUCCUGCAUGUACAAUAAUUGCAUGCUUAUAGUCUCCAAAAAGCUCACAGAAAAAAGAAAUUAGGUUGACAAAAUCUAAAUAUUUAUGAUCAGUUCGUCCAAGCCUGCAUUCAGCAAUUGUCUGGUGCACUUCAAGAAUAUCUAACUUUUGCAUUCCCAUUCACCAAUAAUAAUUUCAGGAAGUAUGAAUGUUUGAGGCAGAUUUCUAAAUUUUCCAAAGAGCUCCUGGAGAUUCCAGUAAAUGGUCUUUAUACACAUAGGAGGAAGCAACUAAGCUGAUGACUGAUAAGAGAGAAAUGUAUGAUGCAGCUAAAAAAAAUCUUGACAAUACAAUUUUAUUUCAGAAAUUGAUAAAGAUAGCUAUAGAUCUUUCCUUAGUCCUGGGUAGAAUUAUGAAAACUCAGGUUUCAUUCUGACCAUGCAGAGACAAUGAAGGAAAUAAAUUGCAUCGCUCACAUCAUAAAGAAAGGACACAGAAUCAUCAGAUCCACCCAUUGUUUCAUUUUUUCCUCUUUUCCUUUUUUACUCAAAGGAAAGCAAUGAUAUUACAGGAACGAGGCAAGUACAAACUUAGUUCUACCAUCAACAUCAACAAUAGCAAAUAGGCCUUCCUAAAACAAAUUGCAAAAUUUUUGUCGUGAAUUGUGUAAAUGAGUAUUAAAAUUGCUAAAUACUGAAUAAAAGAGAUACUUUAUAGUAUUACCUUUAAACGCCUAAACAUUGCAGCAGAGUUACUCCAUGUACCAUCAAUCAAAACAAAAUUCAAGGUUUUGUCUUCAUUUUUCUGUGAAGUAUAAUCAACAUGAGAAUUACCACCUAGUUGAACUGAAAGAAAAGAGGAGAUUUCAAACUGAGAUAACAGACAGUCCAUCUCAAAGUAGAAGGCAACUGUUAUCAAUUUAUGCCUAAUUUCUACAUUUUAUCAGCACCCUGUUGCCAUCAUAGAUACAGCAUGGGUCUCCCAUUACUGCUGCUCUUUCUCUUUGCAUAUAAUGGACCACAUAAAAAAUCAACUGAACGAGAUAUAAGGUGCUUAUGCUGAUCUAAGCAUUUCCAGUAAAUACAACAAUCGCGGCAUAAUAAGCACGCAAUAAUCCUGCAGGAGAAGAGUACCACAGUGGAGGAGUGUUCUAUGCCAUCCGAAAAUCCUUGACCAAAAGCAUCGUGAACUGACUUUGUGACUGCAUUCUUGUUGGCAUAAAGGCACCAAACGUUGUCUUUUCCUGCAAUGUCAUACAAAACAACUAGAAAAAAGAGGCUCCAAAUGUUGAAUUAUGGAAUUUAAAGAAUAUGAAAAUAGCAGCCUUAGUGCUCAAAAUGACGGAUAACUUUACAACACCAUCUUGACUAAGAAGUAAAGGCCACUACUAAAUUUCCAGCACAUGGUUACAAUACUCAACUCAACUCAACCAAGCUUUAAUCUCAAACUAGUCAGGGUCAAAACAUAGUAAUAUAACUUUAAUCAGCAAAUUUUUGUGCCAAAAAAAUAGAGCAACUAUCUAUUUCACUUUGACUCUGUGCAAACAAAGUGAUUGUAAUUGUCUCAUAAAGUAGUUAUCCAUUUAAGGAAUGAAGCUCUAAAACAGCAACAUUUGGUGAAGAACAAAGAGAUCAAAAGCUAUGAUCUGUGGACACAAGCACAAGCACCAUGGUUGAACGUAGACACGCAUGGCAAUUCCCAGAAAUCUGGACAUGGGCAUAUAGUGUGUUUGCUUUUACCAUAUUAAACAUGGUUUAAACCAUCCUAUUAGGUACAUUGUCUGGUGAAGUGAAUUAGGUACAUUGUCUGGUGAAGUGAAGAAUAUUACAAAACACAAAACUCUCAUAUAUAUGUCUUUUAAUGCAAGCAAAUAUAAAUUCUCAUAUGACAGUAAUGCAAAUCAGACACAGGCAGAUGUUUGUGUAGCAUCCUUAAGUGUAUGGCAUGCCUACAUAUUAAAAAAAGAAACCUGAAAACUUGAAUGCAUUCCUCAUUAUUUCCUCGUGCUCAGGAAUACCAAAGAGACAUAAAGUAGCUGAUUGAACUCCAAAUACUUGCCAUAACAAUUUUCCAGUGUUGUUUUGUCGUAGAAAAUCCUGCCAAAGGUUAAUGCUAAAAAUUACAUUAUAUAAUUCACAAGUUAUAACGUGUGAUAACAUUAAAACAAUCUAACCUUUGGAUGCAUAUACAACCAGAAACGUAUACCAGGCCAUAAAGAGGAGUGCUUGACUCUUGAACACAUGCAAUCUUCUUCCAAAGGCAGCCAGCACUUCUGGCAAAGAUAAUCUCUACUUCCAAGCACACGACAUGCUAUUUGUCUAGCUGCAAAGAAUUGGAUCUUUUUUUCAGAAUCACCUAAAGCCUCAUAUGUUGCUCUGUGUUUCUUGUCCUCUUGAAUUUUAAAUUCACCCUGAAGUUUGCCACCAUUGCCACCAAAAGUCAUCUGGGCAUCAUUGGUUCUCUCCAAAAGCUUCAAAUCCUCAACAACUUCCAAAACCUUAGCUGGUACAAGCGAUAUGGUGCCCCAACCCUGCCAUUCCUGCAGCGUUAUAGAUACAUCAUCAGUGUCUCUGGCAUCAGCUUUUCUUGAAGGACUACGAGAAGAAGAAUUAAAAACGUUAGCUUUAGGGUUUCUGGGUGGAGACUCCAUGAGGGUUUUGGCGGAGAAUGCGAAAGAUGGAAGAGGGAACUUGAAAGUAAAGGCCCUAGUGGCAGAAAACAUGGCGUCUUGGUUGGGUUUUUCCGCCGGUCUUGUUUUGGU
rnacentral:misc_RNA from 1 species